rnacentral:lncRNA from 1 species
GGAUGUGGGCAGGGAGGGAAGCAGGCUUGGAGGGUUAAUUUACCCACAGAAUGUGAUAGUAAUAGGGGAGGGAGCCUGAGCCUGGGCUGGAGCCUUCUCCCCUCCCCAGUUGGACUAGGGGCAGUGUUAAUUUUGAAAAGGUGUGGGUCCCUGUGUCCUCUUCCAGGGGUCCAAGGGAACGGGAGAGGUCACUGGGCCUGUUUUCUCCCUCCUGACCCUGCAUCUCCCACCCCGUGUAUCAUAGGGAACUUUCACCUUAAAAUCUUUCUAAGCAAAGUGUGAAUAGGAUUUUUACUCCCUUUGUACAGUAUUCUGAGAAACGCAAAUAAAAGGGCAACAUGUUUCUGUU